rnacentral:lncRNA from 1 species
ACAGGGGGUUGAGUCUUGUGUGCCCUCAGUAGCACCAGUGAAAGUUUACUGGAGGAUUCAAAGCAGAAUAGGUCCCAUUCUAGCAACUGCCAGGGACGAAAAGCUACUUAUCAUUUAUUGGCUGUGACUCAUCAUGUGUCUAAGUAGCGAUUUCCAGUAAUUUCACAAACAUUCAUAUCUGCCAAUAGGCUCUUGCAAUGUGCCAACCACUGGGCUGGACACUGGGAGACCCAAAUAAUACAAGUGGUCAUUCGUGAGGUGCUUAUUGUGAAUGUACGUAUAGCCUGUGGUUAUCUUGCUCAUCCGUAAGUAUUUAUUGAGUAUGCAGGUUGCAUUGUGCUAGAGGUGAGGGCAUUGGGGAGACUAUAGAGUGCUAGGUGUGGGGACUCUAGAGUGGACAAGGCAGCUGGGGUCACUUCCUUUAUAUACUGGAGAAAGUAGGUGGAAAAUAAAAUACAUUAUCAAAC